GACGAACGCUGGCGGCGUGGAUUAGGCAUGCAAGUCGAACGGUAUCAUCCUUUCGGGGGUGAGAGAGUGGCGAACUGGUGAGUAACACGUAGGUUAUCUACCCUCAAGACGGGGACAACCCCAGGGAAACUUGGGCUAAUACCGGAUGUGAGCAACUUUUAGUUGUUUGAAAGGUGGCGUAAGCUGUCGCUUGGGGAUGAGCCUGCGUCCUAUUAGUUAGUUGGUGAGGUAACGGCUCACCUAGGCAAUGAUAGGUAGGCGGCCUUAACGGGUGGUCGCCCACACUGGGAUUGAGAUACGGCCCAGACUCCUACGGGAGGCUGCAGUCGAGGAUAUUUAGCAAUGGGCGAAAGCCUGACUAUGUGACGCCGCGUGAGGGAUGAAGGUCUUCGGAUUGUAAACCUCUUUCGAUAGGGAAGAAAAUUCCGGUUAACUACUGGAACUGACGGUACCUAGAGAAGAAGCCAUGGCUAACUCUGUG
rnacentral:rRNA from 1 species